rnacentral:antisense_RNA from 1 species
GGCGGCUCUUCUUUCUUCCACUCUGAGACAAGAACACAUGCGCUUUUCCUGUAAGUGUUGUCUCCCCAGUUAUUCUGGAGACCAUCCAGAAGAGAAUGAGAAUAAAGAAACCAACAGAAGAAAGAUAAAGAAGGAAGAAUAAAAGAUACCAAAAUGACAGUAUCGCUUGCUUCGGAGAGUUUCACUCUUGUGGCCCAGUCCGGAGUGCAGUGGCACCAUCUCAGCUCAUUGCAACCUCCGCCUCCCCGGUUCAAGCGAUUCUCCUGCCUCAGCCUCCCGAGUAGCUGGGAUUACAGGUACCCGCCACCAUGCCCAGCUAAGUUUUUGUAUUUUUAGUAGAGACGGGGGUUUCACCGUGUUAGCCAGGAUGGUCUUGAUCUCCUGACCUCGUGAUCCGCCUGCCUCGGCCUCCCAAAGUGCUGGGAUUACAGGCGUGA